UCGCCGCCGCUGUUCAUUGGCAGGCAGCGCCGCUUUCAUCAUUUCUCAGAAAAGUCAAUUUCAUUUUCACUUCCCCACGUCGCGGCAGCGGGAGCAACAAGCGGCUGCGCUAGCUGAGUGUGUAACCAUUUGAAGGGCAGCUGUCAUCAGGGACACCGCCUGGAGCUCCGUCUGGGGGCGAAAAGGAAGGCCUUCCCCUAGUAAGUCACCAGCAGCGUCCUCCCAGACUGAGUGUGCAACGGAAGUUCCCUCCCUGCAGGAUGAGAUGGGCAAGGAAUGGAACAUCCUAGGACCGUCUACCUGGAUGCGUCAGGACUCAUUUCUUUUCAAGGGAGUCGAGAAAGGAGAGUGAUUACUUGGCCAUGCAGCAAUUGACCUCUCCAUGAUUGAAACUUAAAGAUACGUUCAAGAAAGUUUCAUCUCCACUACAUCCGAAAGGUGCACGACAAUUCACACACACACGUCUCGGCGCUGCCUCCUUCUCCUGAGAUGCAACUCCAAGACAUUUCCUAGCCAUGCUCCUGACAAGCCGGUAAGAACAAGGCAAGACCAACCCCUGCUCUCCUGGAGCUUACAUUCUAGUGGGGGUGAUGUCAACAGACAGACAGACAAACCAAGGAAAUAGUUACAGAUUUGUAUCCGUGUCCUGAGGGAAACAAACAGGACUUUGGAUAGAAAAUACUGGGGGAUCUAGGUGGUUGAGGAAGGUUUCUCAAGGAGAAAAUGACAUUUAAGCCAAAACUUGGAGGAGAGGAGACUGUAUUCAUUUCCUGGGGCUGCCAUAACACAGUACCACAACCCAGGUGGUGGAAGUAACAGAAAUGCAUUGCCUCACAGUUCUGGAAGCUGGAAGUCCAAGAUCAAGGUGUCCACAGGGUUGGCUCCUUCUGAGGGUUAUGGGGGAAGGACCUGUUCCUUGCCUCCUGGCUUCUGGUGGUUGGCCAGCAAUCCUGGGCAUUCUUUGGCUUGUAGCAGCAUCACUCCAUCUCUGCCUUCAUCUUCACGUGGUGUUCUCCCUGGAUGUGUGUCUGUAUCCAAAUUUCCCUGUUUUAUAGGGACACUAGUCUUACUGGAUUAGGGGCCCACCAUACUCCAAUAUGAUCUCAUCUUAAUUCAUUACAUCUGCAAAGACAAUCUGAGGUAUUGCGGGAUUGGGAUUUCAACAUAUGAAUUUUGAGGGGGACACACUUCAACACGUAACUGAUAUCAAUUGUGUGACGAAGCCCCGAGCCAGGGGAAAGAUUGAAGACAAAGGCCCUGAAAAGCAAAAGGGUCUGGCAUAUUCUGGAAACCAAAAGAAGGUGAAUGUGACUUCAGAGUUCUGAAUGAGGGUAAGAAGGACACAGGCAGGUGGGCAGAGGCCAGAUCAAGGACUUUGGAUUUUAUUCUAAGAUCAAUGGGAAGAUUUUGAAGGGUUCUGUGGUUUUAAAAGGUCACGCUAUAAAUUUCCCAACUGUCUCCUCAACAUCAGUGAGAUGCAAGGAUUUCUUAAUUUGUGGAUUUCUCAGAAGAAUUUGUAACUGUUCUUGCACUGACCUCUCAGUUCAUUACAUGAUGAAUUUGUUGAGGAAACAAUGCAUUGGGGAUAUUUUGAAACAGUUUAAUCUUCUUUUUCAUUUCUUUUUGGUAUUCCUAAGGUAUUUCUUUCCCUUUAACUUUCUCUCUGAUUUUCAUCUCCACAAAUAAAUGAAGUAAAUUUUUACUUCAUUCUUUUUACCCUACCCCCAUAAAAAUUUCCCUUAAAAAAAAAGAAGAUAUAUUCAACUGUGGAUUCCAGGCACAUGCUAUUUUCCUCAGACUGCUUUGAGUGAAUGAUGAUAAUUUUCAGAGAUUGUGUCACCACAAAAUCAACAUUCAUUCCAAAAUUUAAUGGUUUCAAAUGUAUUUCUUUUUUUUGAUUUCUAAAAAUUUUCAAAUUUCUUUUCCAUCAGAAACCCCUUGUGUGUAAUAAAUAGUUUCCACAAAACUGAAUUUUUGUUGGCAGAACAAUCGGCGUAAGUAAAACUUCACGAUUUGCCUUGGAUGUUUUGUAAUUUGAAAGCAAAUGUUGAUUUAAACAGCCCACCACUAUUUUCUCAAUGUCCAGCUGUGGAUGCUGGGUUUUUAGCACCACUUCUCUCCGGACAACCAAAAAAAAUAUCACUUUCUUUCCUGUUUUACAUAUUGAGUUUCUGCGUAAGAUUUCAUUUGGGGAAAAGGUUCUGUCGCUUUAAAAAAAAAUGUGAAAAAGAUCAAAGCCACCAAUACUACUGGCAGUUAGUUUUGCUUCAUUUUCCCAUAACUGGAGAUAAGAAAGAAAACACGACAAACCAUAAGUGAAGAACCUUAAGACUGAAGGAGAGAAAGAAAUAUGCAGACCCAGGAACAGACGCCCGACGGAGGGUUGAUGGGUGAGUUCACGCUGGGUGGCUGGGCAGAGCCAGCCUCGGCGGAGGGGCCAACAUUGUAGGUUCACCCUCACUUGAGUUGCUCAGAUUGUCUCCAUAUUUCCUACCUUGAUGAGAACUUUUCAUCUUUUCAGGGAUGCAGAACCAACAGAUUCAUGACGACUCGUUUCACAAUGUAUGUGGUUGAUGUCAUGUUUAUAUGACACUUUUCACCAAGCCUUUUCCCUCAUUGAGAAAUUACAGGAACACUAACCCAGCCCUGUCAUCUUCCACAAUGCUUACAAAUAUUUUACCACAUAUACACUCUUAUUGGUAUUUUUGCUUAUGAUGAACUUAAGAUAGUAGGAAAUUUAUGCUCCAUUGAGGAUAAAAGGAAAACAAAGUUUUAUAUGUACAGUAAGGUCACCCUAAAGAUGUUCAUAUAAGUAAGGUGAAAAGGAACUACAUCAAAACAUUAAUAGUGGGUGUCUUUGAGGAGUGGAACUAUGGGUGAUUUUCUUCCUUUUGAAAAAUUAACAUUUUUAAGAAUAGAUUUUCCUUUUAUUAAUGUAAACAUUUUAAUAUAUUUUUAUAGGUGAUUUCAGAAAAUUGUUUCUUGAUAUGCUUAUGAUUUUUAUGUAAAGGACUUGUAAGGUUUUUUUUUAAUUUAUUUAUUUUAUUUUUGGCUGCGUUGGGUCUUCGUUGCUGUGCGUGGGCUUUUCUCUAGUUGCAGUGAAUGGGGGCUACUCUUCGCUGCAGUGCACGGGCUUCUCAUCACGGUGGCUUCUCUUGUUGCAGAGCACGGCCUCUAGGCGUGCGGGCUUCAGUAGUUGUGGCAUGCGGGCUCAGUAGUUGUGGCUCACAGGUUUUAGAGCACAGGCUCAGUAGUUGUGGCGCACGGGCUUAGUUGCUCGUGGCAUGUGGGAUCUUCCCGGACCAGGGCUCGAACCCAUGUCCCCUGCAUUGGCAGGCAGAUUCUUAACCACUGCACCACCAGGGAAGCCUGACUUGUAAGUUUUAGCUAGUUUUAUCCAUGGGACUUCAAAAAACAAAGCACUGGUUAAUACAUCUUAUAUUUUACACUACAUUCUUAUAAGAAUUUUUAAAUCUCUGUGUAGAAGAUAAUUUUUUCCUACAAAUGCUAUAUAGUUUCUCCCAGUCUUCAAUUUUAUCAAAAUAUUCAUUUUUAAUGACUCUCCAAACAGGACUCUCCAAAGGAACAUAUAAAAACAAACUAACGUGUGUCCAGAUCAAUGGCUAUUAAUAAGUGAUACAUUCCAUAAUCAUUAUUAAUAUUUAAAUAAGCUUUUGCUUUGAUUCACAUCAUGUUUUAAAUAUGCCAUUUGAAAAAGUUUGACUUAGGAGAAAUCUAUAACAACUAAAGAAUCUCUUCUACUUGUAAAGUUUCAUUUCAUUUGUAUGCAAGAAUAUUACUAUAUUCUUAGCAAUCAAAUUCAAAUUCUUAGAUCUCAAACAUGAAUGAAGACUGUAAGCAAAAUAUCAAAAUUUUAUGUUAAAUUUUUUCUUUUUUUGCCUUUCUUCUUUCUGGCACUUUCACAUUUAGUCAUCAUAUUUCCUAUUUUGCUUGCUCAAUUUCCACGUAUAACAGGAUUAGCAGAAGGGAGAGAAAACAACUCAUUUGAAGGCAGUAAAGGGUAGGAUGUCUCUCUUUCUGUCUCUGUCUCUGUCUCUCUCUCACACACACACACACACACACACACACACACACACACAGUAGAGGAGGAUUCUCUGCAUACAGAAAUUCAAUUCAGAACAUUUUUCCCACAGAAGUAAUAAGAAACCAUGAUGGUACAAGUAUAUAGUUUUCCUUCAUUAUGGGUUAAAUUAAGAGUUUGUGGGCUGGCCCGGGAAUACACCAUUUUAUAACAUUGUACACAUGGGAAACUUUCAUUCUG